UGUGAACAUAAACAUUUGCUAGGGUAUUGAAGGAUCGUUCCCUUCUGUUCAUAC
rnacentral:tRNA from 1 species